rnacentral:rRNA from 1 species
CCUACGGGUGGCAGCAGUGAGGAAUAUUGGUCAAUGGACGAGAGUCUGAACCAGCCAAGUAGCGUGAAGGAUGACUGCCCUAUGGGUUGUAAACCGCUUUUGCACGGGGAUAACACCCUCCACUUGUGGAGGUCUGCAGGUACCGUGCGAAUAAGGGCCGGCUAAUUCCGUGCCAGCAGCCGCGGUAAUACGGAAGGCCCGAGCGUUAUCCGGAUUCAUUGGGCUUAAGGGGAGCGUAGGCGGGCGUUCAAGUCAGCUGUAAAAUCGCGCGGCUCAACCGCGCCCCGCAGUUGAAACUGGAAGCCUUGAGUUCACAACAGGCAGGCGGAAUUCGUGGUGUAGCGGUGAAAUGCAUAGAUAUCACGAGGAACCCCGAUUGCGAAGGCAGCCUGCCGGGGUGCGACUGACGCUGAGGCUCGAAGGUGCGGGUAUCAAACAGGAUUAGAUACCCGUGUAGUC